GCUAUCCCGACUAACGGAGGGACUGACUCCACGGAGGGUGUAAGACCCGUGUGGGCGCGUGUUAAAGCUGAUUGGGGUUGGCCUCUUUUCCCUGAGAGUCGCGUUGCUCUGGCAUGCAGCGCUAAGCAGGUCGUAAACUCGAUCUAAGGCUAAAUAUUUCCACAGGCCCGAUAGCGAACAAGUACCGUGAGGGAAAGUUGAAAAGCACUCUGAAGAGAGAGUCAAAAGACCGUGAAACCGCUCAGAGUAUAAGCCCAUGGAGCUCGGAAGGCAUACCGCAGUCCUAUAACAAGGUCGGCUUGCAUGAAUGGUCCGUCAGGCAGUGGCAUUGAGUUGAUAACACGCUGACGUGCGGGGGAGGACACUGGUCGCGUAGACGGGCUUCGGCCCGUUUUGCACGGCCAGCUACUCCCUUGAGCACGGACGUUCAAGGGUGCUUGCCGUAUGCGGAAACGCCCACCACGUCUCGUUGCGUGGUCACCCACAGGCUCGACUGUCGAUCGCGUGUUCACCUCGUUCGCAAAGAUGUGUCGAUGGCUGUCCCUGGCCCCCCCUCUAGGGGUCGGGACUGACACUUGCGUUCGAGGCUACUUAUUU
rnacentral:rRNA from 1 species